rnacentral:rRNA from 1 species
UACGGGGGGGGCAAGCGUUGUUCGGAAUUACUGGGCGUAAAGGCUCGUAGGCGGCCAACUAAGUCGGAUGUGAAAUCCCUCAGCUUAACUGGGAACUGCGUCCGAUACUGGAUGGCUUGGAUUUGGGAGAGGGAUGCGGAAUUCCAGGUGUAGCGGUGAAAUGCGUAGAUAUCUGGAGGAACACCGGUGGCGAAGGCGGCAUCCUGGACCAAUAUUGACGCUGAGGCGCGAAAGCCAGGGGAGCAA